GUGUAUUUUGCUGGAGGAGUUGUGGGAAUUGCUUCAAACACUUUGAGACCCAACGAAAGGGAGAGAAAACUGAGUGAGAGUUAGAGAGUUCAAUCUACUUGGCUGCUGGAGAAGAAAAAGGGUGCUGGAAAUUCAACAAGGAGUUCAAAAUUUGAAGGAAGAACAAGGGAAAGAAAGAAAAAUUAACCAAAUAUGCUGGAAAUAAAGUUUAAGGUCAGACACCGAACCAUUAGUACGUGUACCGAGGAGCCCACUGUGGCCAGGCACCGGAUCAAAGCUGGAGGCGUCGACCCGAACCCUUGUUUUGUCAAGCCAGCUAUUGUCCCUCAUUGCGAGGUUUCGAACUAGCAUGUGUCAAGGUGUUUUUGGGUGGCUCGACUUCACCCUUUUGAGUUUGUUAAGUGAAAAGAAUGUUUUAAGACUAAUGUCAAUACUGUUCCAGAUGAUGGGAUUGAUUCCCUAACUUAUGUUUUGUCUUGUCUAUAUAUGCUUAUGGGCAUAAAUGGCUAUGUACAUGAAAGUUUAUCUCCAUUUAGGUCCUCACUGCUCAUUGGACGAUGUAUGUUGUUAUUGAUUGGUUUCCCUCAGCCCCGUUAUAUUGUAUUAUUGUCAGUAUUGUUAAACAGGCCUUCGGUAAUCACGGAUUACUGGCCGGUUACGGUGCUAAACCUAUAGGGGCGGGUUUAGGUCGUGGCAUGUAGGCCUCGUUUGAUUGUCCCGAUUGAAUAUAAGGAU